rnacentral:rRNA from 1 species
GAUAAUGGCUCAGGAUGAACGCUAGCUACAGGCUUAACACAUGCAAGUCGAGGGGAAACGACAUCGAAAGCUUGCUUUUGAUGGGCGUCGACCGGCGCACGGGUGAGUAACGCGUAUCCAACCUGCCCAUCACUUGGGAAUAACCUUGCGAAAGUAAGACUAAUACCCAAUGAUAAUCCCACGAAGGCAUCCGAAUGGGAUUAAAGGAUUUAUCGGUGAUGGAUGGGGAUGCGUCUGAUUAGU